AAGAAGGCUCUCGGGCCGGGGACUCGAACCUAAUGCAACGAGAGCUGAAUCACUUUGACUACACCCCUGAAUCAAAAUAGCCUGGUCUCUGUAGCAGAAGGAGGAGACAUUUAAGCAAACGAUUAAAGUGAGGAAGCAAUGUUUGUGAAAGUGUGCCCUAUAAAUACUCCAAACAGAGGGACUCAUAGCAAAGGCCAAAACCCAGAAUUGGAGCAAGUUUGAACGUACAAUUUAUGUUAACAAAUGACUCUAUUAACAAGCCAAAGAUAGAGUUGAAGACAAUA